GCAACAACCUAGAUGGAUGUACAGCCAUCAAGAGGAUCUUAAAGUGUGGUCUUUAGUGGAAAAAAAGCAGAAGCAAUGUAUGGGAGACUGAGUAAUUACAUAUAAGCUCACAUCACUAUCUCUUCCACCACUGUCAUCCAUCAUGACUGAUCUGGGAGAUGAAACAGCACAGAUCUAAAGGACGUGGCUGGAGUGCAAUGGCAUGGUAUCGGCUCACUGCAACCUCUGUCUCCUGGGUUCAAGCGAUUUUUCUGCCUCAGCCUCCCAAGUAGCUGGGAUUACAGGCAUGCGUCAUCAUACCUAGCUAAUUUGUCCCAUAGAAUCUCAUCUUCUGGAUUUUGUGGCUAUUUUUUCAUGGUGUUGAUUCAUUCAUAAGGUAAAAUUUAUAUACAGUGAAAUGCAUCUUAUGGGUACAAUUCAAUGAGUUUUGAAAAGUGUGUACAUCCAUGUAACCACCACCCAGAUUAAGACACAGAACAUUCCCGUCACCUCAGAAUGUUUCCCGGUGCCUUCUUCCUACCCCUCAUACAGUAACAUUGUAAUAAUUUCUAUUGCCACAUAUAUGUUUACCUGUUCUGAAACUUCACAGAAAUGGAAUUAUAUAUUAUGUAUUUGUUUGUUACUGGCUUUUUAUCAUUUAAUAUUUUUUUAUUCAUCCAUACCCACUGCAUGUGUCAGUAUUUCAUUCCUUCUUGUUAUUGUGUAGUAUACAAAUAUAUAAAUAUAUCACAAUUUAUUUUUGC
rnacentral:lncRNA from 1 species